rnacentral:lncRNA from 1 species
GUAGUUUUUGGCAGCAGCUGCUACUAAGCAAAUAAUUUACUUAGCUGCUUUGAUAUGGCAGUUUUUCAUUUUCUUUUUUUAAAUAGUGACUUUGUACCUAACCCUAUUUCUGGACAAUUCUCUCAUUGAGGAGAUAGUCACUAAUAUUUCCUUGCUUCCUGAUUGUGUACAUACAGUCUGGCUCUGUCGUCCAAGCUGGAGUGCAAUGACAUGAUCUCAGCUCACCACAACCUCUGUCUGACAGGUUCCAGCAAUUGUCCUGACUCAGCUUCUGGAGUAGCUGGGAUUACAGGCAUGUACCACCACACCCAGUUAAUUUUUGUAUUUUUAGUAGAGAUGGGGAUUCACCAUGUUGGCCAGGCUGGUCUCGAACUCCUGACCUCAAGUGAUCUGCCUGCCAUGGCCUCACAAAGUGCUGGGAUUACAGGCAUGAGCCACCAUAUUUGGCCUAAAAUGUGCAACCUCUAAGGAACCAGAAAUCAUUCUAAAAGUAAACACUACCAUCAUUCUAUCAAUUGAUAAAUCCUUGUCAUUAAAGCCUUCAUUUUUUUCUAGUUUAGUUUCUCAAUGACUAAGACAGUAAAGCUACUAGUUGAAUUAAUUAGUAGCACCAGUAAAAUCUUAUCGCCUCAUAUCUAUCUUCUUCACAUAAACCAUAAACCUUUCAAGGAUGAGGAGUUAUUGCCUAGAAUACAUAGAUACCAAAAAUGAAUAAAGAAUGACAUACAUUAAAAAGUAUAUGUCUACAUAUUUUCUAAAAUAUAUUUUUAUAGAACAGAAAUACACUUAAUGUCCUAUUUUCUUUUAAAAUGAGAAAUUCAGUUCAAUUCAGCCUGGAUUUAGUUCAAAGUAAAACAAUUAAUCAGGAAACAUAAAUCUGACUCUGCCAAGAAGAAAAUAGCUAUUAAAUCUUCUGAGAAUUGACCCUGAUAGGUGACAUGGUAAAAAUACAGUGGUGUUGACUGCCCAAGAAUUUGGAAAGGAAAUAGCAUAAUGUAAUAGAUAGUACAUAAUAUAAGAAACCUUAUAUUAAGUCAAGAAUAUGUAAAAAAAAUCAUCCAAAUUCUCAAAUUCUAUGCAAGCUAUCCAGUUCAUUUUUUCCACUUUAUUUUCUCCAGUUUUAUUGAGGUAUAAUUGACAAAUAAAAAUAUAUAUUUAAGGUAUAAAACAUGAUUUUAUGUACAUAUAUAUUUACAAUCAAGCCAAUUACUAUAUCCAUCAGCUCACAUAGUUACCACUGUGUGUGUGUUUGUGUGUUGGUGUGGGUGGGGAGAGCAUUUAACCUACUCUCCUAGCAAAUUUCAAGCGUUAAAUACAGUAUUGUUAAUGAUUGUCACCAGGCUGUACGUUAGGUAUCUAGAAC